UACAGAGGGGGCAAGCGUUGUUCGGAAUUAUUGGGCGUAAAGAGCGUGUAGGCGGCCAGGUAGGUCUGCUGUGAAAACUCGAGGCUCAACCUCGAGACGCCGAUGGAAACCGUCUGGCUAGAGUCCGGAAGAGGAGAGUGGAAUUCCUGGUGUAGCGGUGAAAUGCGCAGAUAUCGGGAAGAACACCCGUGGCGAAGGCGGCUCUCUGGGACGGUACUGACGCUGAGACGCGAAAGCGUGGGGAGCGAACAGG
rnacentral:rRNA from 1 species